rnacentral:rRNA from 1 species
CCUACGGGAGGCAGCAGUGAGGAAUAUUGGUCAAUGGACGAGAGUCUGAACCAGCCAAGUAGCGUGAAGGAUGACUGCUCUAUGGGUUGUAAACUUCUUUUAUAAAGGAAUAAAACGAGGCACGUGUGCCUUUUUGCAUGUACUUUAUGAAUAAGGAUCGGCUAACUCCGUGCCAGCAGCCGCGGUAAUGCGGAGGCUCCGAGCGUUGUCCGGAUUUAUUGGGUUUAAAGGGAGCGUAGAGGGGUUGGUAAGUCAGUUGUGAAAGUUUGCGGCUCAACCGUAAAAUUGCAAUUGAUACUGGCAGUCUUGAGUACAGGUGAGGUAGGCGGAAUUCGUGGUGUAGCGGUGAAAUGCGUAGAUAUCACGAAGAACCCCGAUGGCGAAGGCAGCUUCCUAAACUGUGACUGACAUUGAUGCACGAAAGUGAGGGUAGCAAACAGGAUUAGAUACCCCAGUAGUC